UCCGGCUGAUCCCGCCGGAGGUCACUGCUAUCUGAAUCCGACUAAGACAUGCUAGUCCUGUUUUUCAGGGCGAACAGCUCAGUAACACGUAGUCAACCUACCCUUAGGACAGGCAUAAGCCCGGGAAACUGGGGAUAACGCCUGAUAGGUAAGGAUGCCUGGAAUGGUUCUUUGCUAAACUAAGGAUGGGACUGCGGCGGAUUAGGUUGUUGCUAGGGUAACGUCCUGGCAAGCCUAUGAUCUGUACGGGCCUUGAGAGAGGAAACCCGGAGAUGGAUUCUGAGACAAGAAUCCAGGUCCUACGGGAUGCAGCAGUCGCGAAACUUUCACACUGCGCGAAAGCGUGAUGAAGGGAUUCAGAGUGCUUCCUGAUACUUUUGGGGAGCUUUUGCCAAGUUCAAAAAGCUUGGAGAAUAAGUGGUGGGUAAGACAGGUGCCAGCCGCCGCGGUAAUACCUGCGCCACGAGUGGUGACCACGAUUAUUGGGCUUAAAGCGUUCGUAGCCGGUUUAGAAAGUUCCUAAUGAAAUCCCAUUGACAACAAUGGGGCUUGUUAGGGAAACUGCUAGACUUGAGACCGGGAGAGGUAUGGGGUACUGUAGGGGUAAGGGUAAAAUCUUAUAAUCCUUACAGGACCACCUGUGGCGAAGGCGCCAUACUAGAACGGAUCUGACGGUGAGGGACGAAAGCUAGGGGAGCAAAGGGGAUUAGAUACCCCCGUAGUCCUAGCUGUAAACGAUGCCCGCUAGACAUUGGCAAUCUUACGGGGGUUGCCAGAGUCGUAGGGAAACCGUUAAGCGGGCCGCCUGGGGAGUACGGUCGCAAGGCUGAAACUUAAGGGAAUUGGCGGGGGAGCACACAAGGGGUGGAGGCUGCGGUUUAAUUCGAUUCAACGCGAGGAACCUCACCAGAAGCGACAGCAGAAUGAAGGUCAGGCUGAUGGUCUUACCAGACAAGCUGAGCGGUGGUGCAUGGCCGUCGUCAGUUCGUGGCGUGAGCUGUCUACUUAAGUGUAGUAACGAACAAGACCCGCACCCUAUGUUACUACCUGGCUCUUUGAGCAAGGGUACUCAUAGGGGACCGCUGUUGAUAAAGCAGAGGAAGGGGCGGUCGACGGCAGGUCUGUAUGCUCUAAAUCUUCUGGGCUACACGCGGCCUACAAUGACCGGUACAAUGAGAUGUGACCCCGAAAGGGGGAACUAAUCUCUAAAGCCGGCCUUAGUUCAGAUUGAGGGCUGUAACUCGCCCUCAUGAAGGCGAAAUCCCUAGUAGUCGCUGGUCAUCAUCUAGCGGCGAAUCCGUUCCUGCUCCUUGCACACACUGCCCGUCAAGCCAACCGAGUGGGUUUUUGGUGAGGUUUUGGUUUUUGCCAGAAUCGAAUCACGAGCUUGCAAGGUGGGCUAAGUCGUAACAAGGUA
rnacentral:rRNA from 1 species